rnacentral:rRNA from 1 species
GACGAACGCUGGCGGCGUGCCUAACACAUGCAAGUCGAGCGGGGAUAGAUGAAGUGCUUGCACAGAUUCUAUUCUAGCGGCGGACGGGUGAGUAACGCGUGAACAAUCUGUCCUAAACAGGGGGAUAACAACUGGAAACAGUUGCUAAUACCGCAUAAGACCACGUUCCCGCAUGGGAAUGGGGUAAAAGGAGCAAUCCGGUUUAGGGUGAGUUCGCGUCCCAUUAGCUAAUUGGUGAGGUAACGGCCCACCAAGGCAACGAUGGGUAGCCGACCUGAGAGGGUGAUCGGCCACACUGGGACUGAGACACGGCCCCAG